AAUCAACGCUGGCGGCGUGCCUCAGACAUGCAAGUCGAACGAUUAAAGCUCUCUUCGGAGAGUGCAUAGAGUGGCGCACGGGUGAGUAACACGUAAGUAAUCUACCUUCGAGUGGGGAAUAACGUCCGGAAACGGACGCUAAUACCGCAUAAUGCAGCGGCAUCGUAAGAUGACAGUUGUUAAAGAUUUAUCGCUUGAAGAGGAGCUUGCGGCAGAUUAGCUAGUUGGUAAGGUAAUGGCUUACCAAGGCUACGAUCUGUAACCGGUCUUAGAGGACGGUCGGUCACACUGACACUGAAUAACGGGUCAGACUCCUACGGAGGCAGCAGUCGGGAAUUUUGGGCAAUGGCGAAGCCUGACCCAGCAACG
rnacentral:rRNA from 1 species